CAGUAUAUCUGUCUGUGUGUGUGUGUGUCAGUAUAUCAGUCUGUGUGUGUCAGUGCAUGUGCCUGUGUGUGUGUGUCAGUAUUUCUCAGUGUAUGUGGGUGUCAGUAUAUCUGUCAGUGUGUGGGUGUCAGUAUUUCUGUCAGUGUAUGUGUGUCAGUAUGUUGAUCAGUGUAUGUGUCUGUGUGUGUGUGUGUCAGUAUGUGGG